UAUCAUUUUUACGAUAUCGUAAUUUUUUGUUCUAUUCAUUGUUUUUUUUUUACAUUUUUUUUUUUACAUUUUUUAUUGAUUCUCUAUUAUGUAUACCCCAAUUAAACCCUCUUAUAUAAUAAAAAGGAAGGGAAGUAUUCUUUAGGAAGUAAUAUGAACUGAAAAGGUUAGAUACUAGAAUGGACGUAAUUUAGAAUGUCGUAUAUUUUAUAAAUAGUCCCAAUAAAGCAGGAUUUUCCAACUAAAUAAUGCCUUAAGAUGUUUAUUAGCCCGUUCCAAAAUAAAUAUGCUACUACGGGGGUGUUUAACGACCUUGGCUAGUCACGCACGGUCGGUAAAGAAAUAUGAGAAAAAGUACGGUAUUACAAUGACGUACUGAGAAUUUCAACACAUGAAAGAAAUACAGCUUUUUAUGUUAUUUAAGCUCAAUUGUAUUUUACUGCCAUAUAUAUGUGUGUUCAGUUUAUUCGCAC
rnacentral:lncRNA from 1 species